GAUGAACGCUGGCGGCGUGCCUAAUACAUGCAAGUCGAGCGAACAGAUAAGGAGCUUGCUCCUUUGACGUUAGCGGCGGACGGGUGAGUAACACGUGGGUAACCUACCUAUAAGACUGGGAUAACUUCGGGAAACCGGAGCUAAUACCGGAUAACAUUUGGAACCGCAUGGUUCUAAAGUGAAAGAUGGUUUUGCUAUCACUUAUAGAUGGACCCGCGCCGUAUUAGCUAGUUGGUAAGGUAACGGCUUACCAAGGCAACGAUACGUAGCCGACCUGAGAGGGUGAUCGGCCACACUGGAACUGGGACACGGUCCAGACUCCUACGGGAGGCAGCAGUAGGGAAUCUUCCGCAAUGGGCGAAAGCCUGACGGAGCAACGCCGCGUGAGUGAUGAAGGGUUUCGGCUCGUAAAACUCUGUUAUUAGGGAAGAACAAAUGUGUAAGUAACUGUGCACGUCUUGACGGUACCUAAUCAGAAAGCCACGGCUAACUACGUG
rnacentral:rRNA from 1 species